GUCGAGAAUCUUCCACAAUGGGCGAAAGCCUGAUGGAGCGACGCCGCGUGAAUGAAGAAGCCCUUCGGGGUGUAAAGUUCUUUUCUAUCCGAGGAAUUUUGACUUUAGGAUAGGAAUAAGGAGCUGCUAAACUCGUGCCAGCAGCAGCGGUAAUACGAGUGCUCCGAGCGUUGUCCGGAAUUACUGGGCGUAAAGAGUCUGUAGGGGGUUUGAUGCGUCUUUUGUUAAAUCUCAGUGCUCAACACUGGGGCCGCAAAGGAAACGGUCAAACUGGAGGAUGUGAGAGGUUGAUGGAACUCAUAGAGUAGGGGUGAAAUCCGUUGAUACUAUGAGGAACACCAAAGGCGAAGGCAUUCAACUGGCGCAUUCCUGACCCUGAGAGACGAAAGCGUGGGGAGCGAACGGGAUUAGAAACCCGAGUAGUCC
rnacentral:rRNA from 1 species